rnacentral:lncRNA from 1 species
GAGGGGAGUGUUGGUGGAGUGUGUCAUUGCUAUUGAGGAGGUGGCGGGACCAGCAGGGGAGAUGCUAGUGUUUGGGCCCAUUGGCAAUGUAGCACUGUUGGCAACGAAACAGGAGAUGCGACUGCGAAGGACAAGAUAGGGUCAAGGGGAACUCAUCGACAACAGGCUCAGGUCCGAGACGGGGUGGAGCAGCUAGAAUUUUCUCAUCGAGAGCGAGCGGAGCGGCUAGGGUUUUCUCUCUUUUUCAAUGUGGCGAAGCAUGCGAUGUGGCGAAAUAUUAUUGGUUUGAUGUAGAGCUGAUAUGGUACACGUGGUGUAGGAUAUAAUUUCUCCUCAAAUAGCGUUAUAACCUCUAAUACAAUCACAGCUCAAUUUGAAUGCUCAUUGGGUAAUGAAUUUUCCUAUAUACUUUCAUUCAAGGAACAAAUUAGUCGUCCAGAGUGAUUUAGCUUUACACUCUUGCUCGCAUCCUUAAACACAAGUAUCUUAUAUGAUGUAUCUACGGGACGUGAUCAAACAUCAGCGUUUACUUUUAUUUAAUUUUCCAACUCAA